rnacentral:lncRNA from 1 species
AUCGACAAGGUAAAAAAAAUAAAAAUAUUUAAUUAACUAAAAAAGUUUCAAAAUAAAACUAAUCAAGGUAAGUAAAAAUAAUAAUUAAUUGUUUUAGCACUAAAAUAAAAUAAAAUUACUUAAAUAAAAGUUAGAACAUUAUCUAGCUCAUUCGUGUUUCGAUUAAUAUUAUUUUACAAUAAUCAAUCUAAUAAAAAAUUUCACCGUCAC